rnacentral:rRNA from 1 species
GACGAACGCUGGCGGCGUGCUUAAUACAUGCAAGUCGAACGGAAAGGCUCUGCUUUUGUGGGGUGCUCGAGUGGCGAACGGGUGAGUAACACGUGAGUAACCUGCCCUUGACUUUGGGAUAACUUCAGGAAACUGGGGCUAAUACCGGAUAGGAGCUCCUGCUGCAUGGUGGGGGUUGGAAAGUUUCGGCGGUUGAGGCUGGUCGCGCGGCUUAUCAGCUUGUUGGUGGGGUAGGGGCUUGCCAAGGCUUUGACGGGUAGCCGGCCUGAGAGGGUGACCGGCCCCAUUGGAACUGGGAUGCGGCCCAGACUCCUACGGGAGGCAGCGGUGAGUAAUAGUGCACGAUGGGCCGAGGCCUGAUGCAGCAGCGCCGCGUGCGGGAUGACGGCCGUCGGGUUGUAACCCGCUUUCGCCUGUGACGAAGGGUGAGUGACGGUAAUGGGUCAGAAAGCCCCGGCUAACUACGUG